CAGCAGCCGCGGGAAUACGUAGGGUGCGAGCGUUAAUCGGAAUUACUGGGCGUAAAGCGUGCGCAGGCGGUUCGUUAAGACAGAUGUGAAAUCCCCGGGCUUAACCUGGGAAUUGCAUUUGUGACUGGCGAGCUAGAGUAUGGCAGAGGGGGGUAGAAUUCCACGUGUAGCAGUGAAAUGCGUAGAGAUGUGGAGGAAUACCGAUGGCGAAGGCAGCCCCCUGGGCCAAUACUGACGCUCAUGCACGAAAGCGUGGGGAGCAAACAGGAUUAGAUACCCGGGUAGUCCCUGUCUCUUAUAA
rnacentral:rRNA from 1 species